AUUUUUAUUUCACAUCAAUUGCUAUAGUUUCAGAUGUAUGAAAGAUUCUUCAGGUUUUUCUUUGCAGCUCAUUUUAAGUAUGUGAUAUGCAGAAAUUCAUUGAGACCUGCCCAGAUGAUAUUUUAAUGGACGAAACAAAUGGUCAGAACAUCCCAACCCUGCGUUUUAAGAUCGCAAGAAACACUUCUCAAGUGAAUCGAGUGUCCUUGCAUAUGGCAAGUCCUUGCAGUCCAGAUUGGUACAUGACUGGAUGUCGAGCAACAGAUAAACAAAAGUGCUGUCCACUUCCUUUUUCAUUUAGACGUCUGGAUUUCAAGUCUCCUCAGUUAAAGAAAUUCAAUGAGACCUGCCCAGCUGAUAUUUUAGUGGAUGAAACAAAUGAUCAGGACAUCAAAAGAAGCAAUUCUCAAGUGAAUGAAGUAUCCUUGAAUAUGUCGAGUCCCUGCAGUCCAGGUUGGAAAGUGAAAGGAUGUCGAUCAACAGAUGAACGUCUGGCUUUGAUGUCUCCUCAUUUAAAGGGGGAAGACCCUCCCGUGAGCAGGCCCUCGCUGCUCCUAUGGUUGGCACCGAGUGCCCCGGAAGCAGUGGGGGAAAGAGAGUGGCACCUGUAUAUGUGGAGGAAUUGCGUUGCUCAGCCGAAAUUCAUUGAGACCUGCCCAGAUGAUAUUUUAAUGGGCGAAACAAAUGGUCAGAACAUCCGAACCCCACGUUUUAAGACUGCAAGAUACACUUCUCAAGGAAACGACCAUCCUUGAACAAACUAGAGCUCCAAGGAAGUAUGGCAAGACCUUGCAGAAAUCUCAUAAAUAUUGAAAAUAUACUUUAUGAAAAUGGAAGUUUAUUUUUAAAAUGACAACUGUUUUCCAUUUUUUUUUCAUGACUAUUCCACUUCAAAAUGUUGAUGCUUUAAAAUUUUCUUCAUUAAUGGUUUCAUUGUUUAAUAUAUGUGUAAAUUAGAUGUUUUCAAUAAAGUGAAAAACAAAUGUAAUUGUGUGUGUGUGUGUGUGUGUGUGUGUGUGUGUGUGUGUGUGUGUGUGUGUGUGUGUGUGUGUGUGUGUGUGUGUGUGGG
rnacentral:lncRNA from 1 species